AGGAAAUUUUGGAUCUUUUUUGCUGCUUAUUGGUAUUUAUCCUUCAGCCAUCCAUCCAUCCAUUUAUCUGUCCAUCCCAUAAACAUUUUUUUCUUUAUGCAAGAAUUUAUUAACCUUAUUUACAGAAAUCAAGUUCUUUUCUUUUCUUUUCUUUUUGCUGAGGAAGAUUUGCCCUGAGCUAACAUCUGUUGCCAAUCUUCCUCUUUUUUAAUUUCUUGCUUGAGGAAGAUUUGCCCUGAGCAAAUCUUGCAAACCUGGGCUGCCGAAGCAGAGCGCACCAAACUUAACCACUAGGCUAUGGGGCUAGCCCCCCUCAGGUUACCUAACAAUGUAUCCAACAGGAUCAUAGUGCUGUGAUUGAAAGAAAACUUUACUAACAUGACUUUAAACUGCAUGAUGCUUACACAGCAGAAACAGAACGGGUAAUCGAUGGAAGGCUGUUACCGAUGUUUGAUGUUAUCAUCAGGCAUGAACAUUUUUUGAGGUCUACAAUGUUCUGGGACUUUGCUGAGCCUACAGGGGAUGAGGAGACAUUGAGACCAUCUUCAAAGGACUCAGCCAAAGGAUGGAAUAGGACAGAGAGGAGCCUGGCUCCCUGGGGCUCAAAGGAAGACAGCCAGCCCAGCCUGGAGGCAUCUAGGAAGGUGUCCUAAGGAUGAAACUCAAGUCCUGAAAGAUGAGUAGGUGAUCAUCCGUCAAGAAGACGAGAGCAUGCUGAUGGGAAGAAAGAGAAUGCGCCAUGGCCCACAGCGAGAGCAUGGUGCAGCCUUUGGGGAAGUCUACAGCGCGGGCACAGAGAGGGCAGGUGCAGGGAGGCUGGGCUGCCAGAAAGGUGAGAGGCCUCGGAGGAUUUUAUCCUGAAAACCGGGGGGCCACGAAAAGAUUGUCAGCAAAGGAUCCACUUGAUGUGUGUUAGAUUCUGGAACCAUUAUCCUGGAGGCUGGUAGAGUGUGGGCCAGCUUGGGCCUUGCUGUGGAAAGACCAGGGCCAGCAAAAGGAGGGGGCUACUGAGGCUAUAAAAUAGCACUGACCCAAAGCCAGGGGGGGAUGUGUGGUCCUCAGAAGCGAUGGGUAGUCAGCAGGGGCCAAGCCGGGAGGGCUAGGAAGCCUUCUGGGGGGCCGCCCGCACAGGCUGAGCAGAACUGUAGCGGACUCGGGACCUGCUGGGUCAAUGGCUCUGAGGGUUGCGUUGGGUGACCUGCAGCUUCAGCCAGAGGGCCAGGCAGCCAUGUGUGUGCACAACACCUGGCCAUGCACGCUCGCCUCCUGUAGGGCAGGCUGGUGGUCCCUGUGCUCCUUCACUGCCAGCUUCUCCUCCCAGCCCUGCCCUGACCUCCAGAGCAGCUAGAGAUGAUUGGGGACGCUGUCAGAGGGCCCGUCCGAGCCAAGUCCUCAAGGUCCCUGGAGCCCCAGGAUGAGAAGCUGGCUCGGGGUGCAGAGCGGAGGCGCUGGGCGAGCAGCUUUCUCGGGAGCCCGGCACGCCGAGGGCACCACGCAUUGAGAAAUGCCCCCGCCACACUCCGCCUGCUCGGGUGGGUCAACUGGGGCAGCUGAGGGAAACCCAGGGCAGAGGGCUGGGAGGGCAUCAGGGUGACAGAGAAGCAGGAGGCUGAGUUCUGGUGCUGCUCCCCCCUCUGAAAAGAGGGAACAUGCUGUACGUGCAUGACCUCAACCAGGAAACCUGAAGCUUGUUGAUCUUGAGUGCCCGCCGGAAUCCUGGCUUGAUUCUGGGCUCACUCCCCGGGGCGUGCGUUUCCAGCCUGCAGAUGCUGGAUCUCGGGGCUCGGUGGGAGGGACACGAGGUUGCAGUGGGAUCUGUGGACAUGGGUCCCUCUGCCAUCAAGGCCAGCCAGGGAGGCAGCACCUCCUGGGGAACAGCCAGAAACUUCCCAGGGCUCUGCUCCCAGCCACCGGCUCUCUCUGCGCUCUGCUCAAGCCUAGGCUUGUCUUUGUGUGUUUGUUUUUAAAUUAUUGAGCAGCUACUGGAUACCAGGUCUUGUGCAGGGUGCAUUAGAUGCAUUGUUUCAUUUCACUCUUGGAACAAUUCUGCAAGGGUUCAGCCCCAUUUAAUAGAGGAAGAAACGAAGGGUCAAUGAGAGUCAGUUACCCAGUGAGGAGAAGAAGCAGAGAUGCAAACCAGGUGUGAGAUGAUCCAGGUCUUGGCAUUUUUUCUUAAGAGAACAUCCUUCACAGAACAGAGGCCUGAGAGGCUCUUAAACCCACUGACUUGACCAGGUCACUGGAGCAGAGCCUGCGGCUUCCGGACUCUGUCUGAGACCCUGGUUAGGGAGCGUGAGCCCAGGGAGAGGGGGCGAUCGGGGGAGAGAGCAGGGAGCCACAGAGGGCUGAUGCUCGGAUCCAGUUGGCAGCAGCCUCCUGGGCCCGAGCUCUGAGAAGCUGCACAAGCUCAUCCUGGGGGAGAAAGGAAGCUCGAUACCCGCUCCUGCCCCCGCUCUCUCAGGUGGCGACCGCGCAGCCCCCAGGCGAGGGGUGCUCGUUCCAGGAGCACAGAGCCUGUCCUUGCGGAGGCACAGAGGUGGCUGGAGCAGGAGGCAGCUGAGGUCCAGAGGGUCUGAGGUGGUGUAAAGAGGCUGAUGCAUCCAGUCUUGUCAUCAUACAGCUGGGGACAGAGCCCUGGAGAGGGGAUGUGAAAGGUCAUGCACUGGUGGCUGAAUCAGGACUUGCUUGAGGUCAUCUGACUCCUCGACCACUGAGGGGACCAUGGUGGUGAGAGGCAGGGAGUGGCCUGGCCCUCUGUGGGUGUGUGUGUGUGUGUGUGUGUGUGUAGAGUUUGUGUGUGUGAGAGAGAGAGACAGAGUAUUUGGAGCCACAUGUAGGUGGCCAGGAAAUGGAGCAUAGUCACAACUCUCUCUAGAAAGUUCUCAGGAGUGUAUGCUCCAGUAUAAAGGAGGAUCCUCCCCCCGACCCCAGGGUUGGGAGGUCCCAGCCCUGAGUCCAGACCCCCAUCCCUGUCUUCAGUGGAGUGUCGGGCCAGCCCAUCCCAGCCAGUGCAGUGACACUGGUCACUCCCAGGAGGAGAGGGGGCGAUGGGACGGCACGUGUUUUGGGCUGUGGCGCUGCUCCUGCUGGGUCCUCAGGAAGCCCAGGGGCCCAGAUAGAGCAGGAAUGAUGAGUAACCGGGCUUUGGCAUCCAAGUAAAACCCACCCCAAACCCCAGACCAAACCACCUCCCGAGCCUGCCAGCUGCCGCUGCCAGAGUAAUCAGUACCCAUUGUUCUCCCAGACAAACGUUCCCUCAGCACUUUCGACCACUGCGUUCCGGGGAACGGCUUUAGGUGUGGGCUUACAUCAUGUGGACGGACACAGCUUAAUGGGAUCUGUUCCCCAAACUGCUCCACCCCGCGGCCUGCCACGGCAGGGUCACAGGGGACGAAGGCAGCUGCCGACUGGAUCAGGGCGGAGAGCCGGCGCCCAGCCUGGGCAGACUCUGGUCCUUGAAGGUUGGCUGACCUUGGCCUCUGGUUCCUCGACCACGCAAGGGGAAAUCACACGUGGCCCGCACUAUCUCAUAGGGUUGGCGUGCGUGAAGGAUACAAAAUUCCCGGGAAAAGCCUACAGCUGGAGUGAAGUGUGCCACGUUCCUGCUACUUCUCCAGCUGUGCUGGGGGACAUCAGGCUGAGGACCAGCGGUGUGGGCAUCCUGCUCCACAGGCUGGGUUCCCAUGCCGGCCUCCGGUGCAGGACCUGUCAUCUCCCUCAGCGUCCGUUUCCUCAUCUGUACGAUGGAGCCCGUGAAGCUAGCCUGCACUGUUGGCAGAGCUGGAGAAUGUGGACGCCUGACUCCCAGCACAGUGCCGGUGGCCGUGGGAAUGGUGACGCCGACGCAGCAACGCGGGCACUGGACACUCUCGGAGGACCACUUGCCAGGCGGCUGAGCGGGUCAGGCCAGGCAUCAUGGGCAGAACAGGGGCCACAUACUCCCUGUGCUUAAAGGUCACGGUCAAGACACACCUCUUCCACGAAGCCCUCCUGAGUUCUCCCAGCCCUCACUGUGGGUCCUCCUUCAGGCUUCUAGCCCCAUGUCAUCUCUUCCACCCUCUUCAGCUCCGAAGUAUUGCAGAGGGUAUUUGUUGUUGGGGUGGGGAGGGGACCGCCCAGCAUAUUUACCCCCCUCCCUAUUUGUGAGUAAGGCCCCUUCAUGUGAGUAUUGGCAGGAGAUAAGCCACCUACUGGGGAAGCUGAACGGGCAGAUGUUCCCUCACCCAGUACCUGAGCAAAGGGACCCAGGCUUGGCCAAAGGGACCCUCCCAUCCAGGACUCAGAAUCUCAAGUGGUGACGUCACGCACAGGAAGAGUCGGACUCCCUUCGCCAUGGCAGCGUGCGCCAGCGGCAGCAGCAGUCCAGGGCCCAGCCCCCGGGGUGGACUCUGCCCAGAGGACUGGUGGCCUUUCUCGGCUCCGGACCACUUCCUGAGCCUUGUUCCCCACCUUCCUGUUGAUUCUGAGUUUCUGGGCAGCCGGAGUUGAGUUUCUGUUGUUUGCCCUCAACACUCACAUUUGUCUUUGCUGAUACCAACUGGUCCAGGUGAGCAAAUAAUCUUCCCCAGCUGGCCUACACCCACGGGGGAGAGAAAUGCUGCCUUGCACGCUGGCCUGUCUCCCGCCAGAUGCCUCGUCAUCCCGUGUGGGGGAUGCUCUGAUUGUCACGCAGACCUGGGACAGGAUCCAGCUUCUGCCACUUGCGGAAUCUGGGGCUCCGAGGAGUUGUUCAGUCACCACGAGCCUUGGUCUUCUCAUCCGUAAACGGCCAUAAAGACGCCUACUUCCUAGGGCCCGGGGGUCGGCUUGAGUAUCAUGACGGAGGCGGAGAAUGGGACUUAGGCUGCUCACGAACCAGCUCCUCCAGCUGGGACUGGUCUGGGAAUGGGGACAGGAGACGGGACAGGGUGAGGCUCUGGGAUGGGGGUGGGAGCCGAACUCUGAGAGCCGUGGUGGGCAGAGGCAGGGCACCUGCUAAUUAAUUCGGUUUUUCUCUUUGUUAGAUUUUCACUUUACCAUCUUUGUUACUUAAGCAUUAUUUCUUGGUUGAAAUUCCCAAAGGUUUAUAUUUCCUUUCCCCCAAAUAAAACGUGAG
ensembl:lncRNA